AUGUGUUUGGUUUUUGUACGGCGGCUCAAUGACUUUGUAUCACUGUGGUACACGUUCGGUGGAGGAACCAGACUGGAUGUUGGAAGUGAUGUCCCUCCCACCCUGACGGUGCUGCCCCCCUCCAGAGAAGAGCUGCAGCAAGGGAAGGCCACGCUCAUUUGCCUGGCCAACAAGGGCUUCCCCUCAGACUGGAGUCUGACCUGGAAGGUGGACGGCAGCAGCAGCUGGGAGGAGAGCAGGAGCCCCGGGGUGCUGGAGAAGGACGCCCACUACAGCUGGAGCAGCACCCUGAGGCUCCCUGCAGACCAGUGGAGGAAGGUGGGCUCUGUGACCUGUGAGGCCACCCAGGGCACCCAGAUUCCGCUCUCAGAGACACUGAGGAGAGACCAGUGUUCCCAGUCCUGAGCUGACUCACUGGGACUCUGCUUUCUCUCUUACACUGCUCUCAGUCUGCUCUCUGGCCCUAGCUCUCUCUCUUCCUCAUUCAUGAUCAAUUUUAAUCAAAUUGAAUGAUUGCAAUACUUCAAUUUUCAUUAUUGUAAUUAUGUGUAUGCCAUUAAAAAAAUAAAGCAAAUUAAAUGUAAAAUAA